CCAUUCCCUGUGAAAAGUCAACAUUCAGGGCAGGUUUACACUACAGGGAAAAGUCGAUCUAAGUUAUGCAAUUUGAGUUACGUUAGUAGCGUAACUCAAGUUGACAUAGCUUAGGUCUACUUACCGCGGUGGCCACACCACACUGGGUUGAUGAGAGAAACUCCCUCAUCGACUCCCCUUACUCUUCUCCUUCUGGUGGAGUACCGGAGUCGAUGGGAGAAUGAUCAGCAGUCGAUUUAGCGGGUCUUCCCUAGACCCACUAAAAAUCAACCCUCAGUGGAUCGAUUGUCGCAGCACCGUUCCCACCAGUAGUGGAGACAAGCCCUCAGUGAGAUUUCAUUAUGUGCUAGUAGCAGGCUGUACAGAAAGCUCCGAACUGGGUGCUGAAGCAAAAAGGAAACUCAACCGGAGAAGUCUGUUUCAUGUGGAUAACAGUCAUCAUAUAAAUCUGAAAUUGUAGGGACAACACAAGAUUCAACUCCUGUAGUAGUGCUGAACAGUAUCAUUGUUACAAUGCUGUGUUUUAUAUUACUAGAAAGGCUUGCUCUUGAUGACAGAAGUGUUUUGAAUUGACUCCAGAACCAGCAAUGAUUAAAUAAAUUGCUAGAACAAGAAAAGCAGCAGAGACUGCAAGACAGCUGAUGUGAAAGCACACACACACUGAGGGAACAGUGUCUCAAAGGCAAAAAUAAACCAGAAAAAUGAGACUUACAAGUCAUAGCUGGUGUCAUUUCUUAUCUAACUUGUCAGCAGGGCUGCUGACACCAACCAUCUCUAAUGAAUCCCUCCCAGAGGCAGUAAACAAAGCCCCAACAUGUUCUUUAUGAUAGAAAGUGUUACUAGCUAAAACAGAGAAGUUCCAACCCACCCUGAAUAUAGAUGGUUAGCAGCAGGCACUCCAUGCUGAAAUCAGUGCUGCUGCUAUUGAUAUUAGACAGGGUUAAAAACAGAGGUAAAAGGCAAAAACAAUGAGAGAAAGGUUAGUCAUGGAGAGACACACGCAUACGUGGGUCAGCAUCUUUCCGCAGCUUUGAAUCCAAUCUUGCUAGUUUCUGACAUUUUGCUUCAAAGAUCUUAAAAGGGUGGCCAGCAAAGCAGACAUUAGUCAAUCAUAAAGCAUUUUCAACCUUCCCAGAUUACUCCAAAACUUUUUCAGGGAAAGUCGCUCUUUAAGCAGAGUCACUAAAGAUCUUAGG